CUAUCCAUUUGGAUUUACGAAGUGGUAAAGUCGCAAAUCUCCCAGCUUUCUUGCGGCAUUUCACUGAGGCGCGCCCCCUUUUGGUCGUAGUAUCUCGUCGCUUUCAAAGUAGAGCGAGCAGAGCUGUACAACUCGCAAAGAAGAUGGCUGCGCCCAUAGUUAAUGAGGGAUGAGAUGUAUUUUCUUUCUAUUUGUACCACGUUGGUGGUUUUAAUGUUGUUUUUAUAACCUCUUACACACUUGAUUUCAUUGCUGCUUUAAUCCGGUCACCAAUAUAUGCAUUGCACGGUCUUGCUUUGCGUGCAAUUCAAUGUAAAGUUUUGUUUUGAAGCUGGUUUGCUAAAGAGGCUAUGUUGCUAAUGAUGACUAGCCUGCUACUACUCCCCCUCGUGGCUCGACAGAAACACAAAUGGCAAACUGGAAGGCUGGAGCAAGGGAAAUACGUCACGUUCUCGCUGAAGCUGGUCGUUCGUACCAGCGUACCAUCCAAAUGGAUAGCAGCAUAAGUGUGUAAGAUUGUUAGCAUGUAAGCUAGCCAGCUCUCGAGCAGAAAGAUCCAAUGGAAGACGAGGGAGGAAGAGGGAGGGGAGCUCAGAUUGGACGAGGAGAAGGAGAAGGGGAGCUCUGAUUGGACGAGGAGGUCUGAUUGGACAAAGAGAAGUUGGAGGAGGGUAGGUAUGAUUGGAACAGGAGGAGGGGAGGUCUGAUUGGACAAGGAGGAGGAGGAGAGGUCUGAUUGAACAAGGUGGAGGAGGAGAGGUCUGAUUGGACGAGGCGGAGUGUUAUCCUGGUAUCAUGCUAGGUCCUCAGUCCAAAUGUUUUUUAGUGUCUAUUGAUGACUGAUACUAGUUUCAUAUCUCUGAUAAUCAUCAGGCCCCUGUAAACCAAGGACUGUAAAUAAACUGUAUAAAUAAACGGAGUGGUUUAUUCUGAGCGGUUCAACACUGCGUCACACCGGGUAAACACACGUCUCCGGACAACACAACAUGGACCUUGUAAGGUUUACACAGUGAGUGUGUGAGUGGGUGUCAACAUUUGUCCCAAGGUUUUAUCGCCUCACAAUAACAGCCGGCUGCUUUGAUAUUUUGAUUUUACCAUUUUAAAUAUCAACAUUCUCAGUUUGUGGUGGUAAGGAGUUUUGAAUUGGUAGGUCAGUAGUUUGUUAUUGGUUCAGGAUGGGUAGGUCAGUAGUUUGUUGGUUCGAGGUGGGUAGGUUAGUAGUUUGUGGUUGUUUCAGGAUGGGUAGUUUAGUAGAUUGUUGUUGCUUCUGGAUGGGUGGUUAGUUGCUUGUUACAGGAUAGGUAGGUUAGAGGUUUGUUGGUUCAGGGUGGGUUGGUUAGUAGUUUGUUGGUUGGUUCAGGGUGGGUAGGUCAGUAGUAUGUUGGUUGGUUCAGGGUGGGUAGGUCAGUAGUAUGUUGGUUGGUUCAGGGUGGGUAGGUCAGUAGUUUGUUGGUUGGUUGAAGAUGGGUAGUUUAGUAGUUUCUUGGAUCAGGCCUGAUAGUUUGUUGCUUGUAACAGGAUACCUCC